rnacentral:rRNA from 1 species
AUUGAACGCUGGCGGCAGGCUUAACACAUGCAAGUCGAGCGGAGAUGAGGUGCUUGCACCUUAUCUUAGCGGCGGACGGGUGAGUAAUGCUUAGGAAUCUGCCUAUUAGUGGGGGACAACAUUCCGAAAGGAAUGCUAAUACCGCAUACGUCCUACGGGAGAAAGCAGGGGAUCUUCGGACCUUGCGCUAAUAGAUGAGCCUAAGUCGGAUUAGCUAGUUGGUGGGGUAAAGGCCUGCCAAGGCGACGAUCUGUAGCGGGUCUGAGAGGAUGAUCCGCCACACUGGGACUGAGACACGGCCCAGGAUCCUACGGGAGGCAGCAGUGGGGAAUAUUGGACAAUGGGGGGAACCCUGAUCCAGCCAUGCCGCGUGCGUGAAGAAGGCCUUAUGGUUGUAAAGCCCUUUAAGCGAGGAGGAGGCUACUGAGACUAAUACUCUUGGAUAGUGGACGUUACUCGCAGAAUAAGCACCGGCUAACUCUGUGCCAGCCGCCGCCGUAACAC